CAUGCUAUUGCUGAAAAGUUGAUCAAACUUGGUCAUUUAGAGGAAGUAAAAGUCGUAACAAGGUUUCCGUAGGUGAACCUGCGRAAGGAUCAUUAUUGAAAUAAACCUGAUGGGUUGCUGCUGGCUCUCUAGGGAGCAUGUGCACACUUGUCAUCUUUAUAUCUCCACCUGUGCACCUUUUGUAGAUCUGGAUAUCUUUCUGAAUGCCUGGCAUUCGGGUUUGAGGAUUGACUUUUGUCUUUCCUUACAUUUCCAGGCCUAUGUUUUCUUCAUAUACACCAAUUUAUGUUAUAGAAUGUAAUGAAAAGGGCCUUUGUGCCUACAAACCUUAUACAACUUUCAGCAACGGAUCUCUUGGCUCUCGCAUCGAUGAAGAACGCAGCGAAAUGCGAUAAGUAAUGUGAAUUGCAGAAUUCAGUGAAUCAUCGAAUCUUUGAACGCACCUUGCGCUCCUUGGUAUUCCGAGGAGCAUGCCUGUUUGAGUGUCAUUAAUAUAUCAACCUCCUCAGGUUUUUGACUUGUCGAGUGUUUGGAUGUGGGGGUCUUUUGCUGGUCUCUUUUGAGGUCGGCUCCCCUAAAAUGCAUUAGCGGAACAAUUUGUUGACCCGUUCAUUGGUGUGAUAACUAUCUACGCUUUUGACGUGAAACAGGUUCAGCUUCUAACAGUCCAUUGACUUGGACAAAUUUUCAUUAAUGUGACCUCAAAUCAGGUAGGACUACCCGCUGAACUUAAGCAUAUCAAUAAGCGGAGGAAAAGAAACUAACAAGGAUUCCCCUAGUAACUGCGAGUGAAGCGGGAAAAGCUCAAAUUUAAAAUCUGGCAGUCUUUGGCUGUCCGAGUUGUAAUCUAGA
rnacentral:rRNA from 1 species